CCCUUCCCACAGAUCUCGCCCAGAAUUCAAAACACCGCGAUACCACACUCCUUGCUACGCUAAACUACAGUACACUUGGCUGUUCGCGUUGAAUGUAUAUGAAGCUGUAGACAGGUGUGUCGCGGCACAUGGCGAUGGCGCACAAAACUGCCGACAUCUUGAGAGAAAAAGCA
rnacentral:lncRNA from 1 species